AAAAAAGCUGUGACGAAGACAGUAGGCAGUGUGUGAAAGCUUUCAGAGAGCCGGCGGUUGGUGUGAGCCGGUGUGAGUAGGCACUAUCGAAAAUCACUUCCGAGCUGCAGGAUUGAACCUAUAGUAAAUUCUGACGAGUAUCCCUUCGUUAAUGGGAAGCGUAUUCAACCAUUUUUAGAUGGCGCGUAUGUGUAAACAGGUGGUAUAACGAGAGUGUAAUUACAGCCUCGUCCUUUUU
rnacentral:ncRNA from 1 species